UGAAAGACCCAGUCGCGGAGCAACUCCUGCUGUUCGGGGGUCAGUUCGGCGAAGUCGGCGUCGAAGGCGAGGAUCGCGUCGUAGGCAUACAGGUCGGUGCGGGUCGCGGGGAAAUCAAACAGCAGAUUGCGCGAAUCCUGACUGAUGCCGACCACUCCGGUCUGGAGCCAGACGUCGACCUCGAAGCCUGAAUGGCGAUGCAGCAUGUUCCGGACGAACUGAUAGUCGCGUCCCGGUCCGCCCGCGAUAAUCAAGAGCUGCAACGGACGAUCGUAGAUGUUCACUCGCCGUGC
rnacentral:misc_RNA from 1 species